rnacentral:rRNA from 1 species
GUCUAUGGCCAUAUAACCCUAAAUGCACCUGAUCUCGUCUGAUCUUGGAAGCUAAGCAGGGUGGGUCCUGGUUAGUACUUGGAUGGGAGACUGUCUGAGAAUACUGGGUGCUGUAGGCU